rnacentral:rRNA from 1 species
ACGACGCUGGCGGCGUGCUUAACACAUGCAAGUCGAACGGGACUGAUUGAAAGCUUGCUUUGAAAAGUCUAGUGGCAAACGGGUGAGUAACGCGUAGGCAACCUGCCUCUAAGAUGGGGACAACAGCCCGAAAGGGCUGCUAAUACCGAAUGUUGUGAGUUUUCCGCAUGGAGAAUUCAUUAAAGAUGGCCUCUACUUGUAAGCUAUCACUUAGAGAUGGGCCUGCGUCUGAUUAGCUAGUUGGUGGGUAACGGCUCACCAAGGCGACGAUCAGUAGCCGGUCUGAGAGGAUGAACGGCCACAUUGGGACUGAGACACGGCCCAGACUCCUACGGGAGGCAGCAGUGGGGAAUCUUCCGCAAUGGGCGAAAGCCUGACGGAGCAACGCCGCGUGAGUGAAAGAAGGUCUUCGGAUCGUAAAGCUCUGUCGAAGGGGACGAACGUAGUGCUUAUCAACAACGAGCGCUAAUGACGGUACCUUUCAAGAAAGCCACGGCUAACUACGUGCCAGCCGCCGC